GGUACCCAGUUCGGAUUGUAGGCUGCAACUCGCCUACAUGAAGUCGGAGUUGCUAGUAAUCGCGGAUCAGGAUGCCGCGGUGAAUGCGUUCCCGGGUCUUGUACACACCGCCCGUCACACCAUGGAAGUUGGGGGCGCCCGAAGUUGCCUAAGAAAUAAGGUACCUAAGGCGAAACCAAUGACUGGGGUGAAGUCGUAACAAGGUAAC
rnacentral:rRNA from 1 species